GACGAACGCUGGCGGCGUGCCUAAUACAUGCAAGUAGAACGCACAGUUUAUACCGUAGCUUGAUACACCAUAGACUGUGAGUUGCGAACGGGUGAGUAACGCGUAGGUAACCUGCCUGGUAGAGGGGGAUAACUAUUGGAAACGAUAGCUAAUACCGCAUAAUAUUAAUUAUUGCAUGAUAAUUAAUUGAAAGGUGCAAUUGCACCACUAUCAGAUGGACCUGCGUUGUAUUAGCUAGUAGGUGAGGUAACGGCUCACCUAGGCGACGAUACAUAGCCGACCUGAGAGGGUGAUCGGCCACACUGGGACUGAGACACGGCCCAGACUCCUACGGGAGGCAGCAGUAGGGAAUCUUCGGCAAUGGACGAAAGUCUGACCGAGCAACGCCGCGUGAGUGAAGAAGGUUUUCGGAUCGUAAAGCUCUGUUGUAAGAGAAGAACGGGUGUGAGAGUGGAAAGUUCACCCUGUGACGGUAUCUAACCAGAAAGGGACGGCUAACUACGUG
rnacentral:rRNA from 1 species